AGAGUUUGAUCAUGGCUCAGGAUGAACGCUGGCGGCGUGCCUAACACAUGCAAGUCGAGCGAUUCUCUUCGGAGAAGAGCGGCGGACGGGUGAGUAACGCGUGGGUAACCUGCCCUGUACACACGGAUAACAUACCGAAAGGUAUGCUAAUACGAGAUAAUAUACUUUUAUCGCAUGGUAGAAGUAUCAAAGCUCCGGCGGUACAGGAUGGACCCGCGUCUGAUUAGCUAGUUGGUAAGGUAACGGCUUACCAAGGCGACGAUCAGUAGCCGACCUGAGAGGGUGAUCGGCCACAUUGGAACUGAGACACGGUCCAAACUCCUACGGGAGGCAGCAGUGGGGAAUAUUGCACAAUGGCGAAAGCCUGAUGCAGCAACGCCGCGUGAGCGAUGAAGGCCUUCGGGUCGUAAAGCUCUGUCCUCAAGGAAGAUAAUGACGGUACUUGAGGAGGAAGCCCCGGCUAACUACGUG
rnacentral:rRNA from 1 species